GAUGAAGAACGUAGCGAAAUGCGAUACGUAAUGUGAAUUGCAGAAUUCAGUGAAUCAUCGAGUCUUUGAACGCACAUUGCGCCCUCUGGUAUUCCGGAGGGCAUGCCUGUCCGAGCGUCAUUGCUGCCCUCAAGCACGGCUUGUGUGUUGGGCUCCGUCCCCCGAUCCCGGGGGACGGGCCCGAAAGGCAGCGGCGGCACCGCGUCCGGUCCUCGAGCGUAUGGGGCUUUGUCACCCGCUCUGUAGGCCCGGCCGGCGCUUGCCGAUCAACCAAAUUUUUAUCCAGGUUGACCUCGGAUCAGGUAGGGAUACCCGCUGAACUUAAGCAUAUCAAAAGCGGAGGA
rnacentral:misc_RNA from 1 species